GGGCCUGACUGCCUGCCUGCCUUCCUGCCUGCCAAAUGUAACUGUGAAGUGAUGUGGAAAAGUGAGCAGGGAGCCUCCCCAGACAGCUCUUAUUGGGCUGAUCUCGGAGGCAGGUCUACCGCUUGAAAAUUCAUAGCAUGCCCGAUCCCAGCUCCCAGAUGAGAAUCACCUUGGAGUUGGCCCUGGUGGGGAGCCAUCAGCUCCAGUAUUCCAUUUCACAGGGGUGAGAAUGGCUUGGGGAAGAAAACAUGCAGGAGGCUGAAUGGGACUUGGAGCAGUUUAAGUCCAAUGUGAAAAAGAGGGACAGAGAGAAGGAGGACAGAGAGGUCUCUCACCUCUUGAUUCAGUGAUGAGUUUUUGUCUGUGCUUUUAGAGACAUUUGAAAAGACACGGAUGCCAACAGCUGCAUUGUUUUGGAGGAACAGUUUACACAAAGCUACCAGGAGUAAUAGAACCAAAAUGAUGCGAGUAACUUUGAAAAGGAGGACUGCAUUACUUGGGGAGAGAUGGAGGCAAGGCAUGAGAGCACUGUCUUUGAUGAGUGACCUGGUUAAGACGAAGUGAUGGCAUAAGGUGUUGGAGAGAAGAUAAGAUUCAACCCAGUCCUUCAACAGAAACUCAAGAGGACGGACUGCCAUAAAGCUAUCACAGUAAUCCUGCUGGGGGAAAAUAAAAUAAAGAAGGCCUCUGGGCUAUUAUGGAUAGCACAUCUGGCAUUUUAGGCUCCUGUAAGUGGACAGUUGCCGGAAAGGGAUUUCAUCUCCUCCUUCCUAAUUGUGUGUAUGUU